AUGCACUACAUCUGCCAUUCUUUCUCUGCUCCUCAGCUCUGCCAUUUCAGAGAACAAGAUAACUAAGACAUGGCCUCUAGUGUUUCGUCCGAUCGUGACGUUAAUCAGAAAGGGCAGGGUGGCAGGGAAGGGAAAGAAGGCGGAAGCAGGAAAAAGACCCGCGGUGGGCUACGGGAGAAUUCUUUAAAAGAAAGGCCAAAUACCUAGAUAGUCCCUUAAAAUUGGCAACUUAGCUAGUGACCAGACUUGGUAGAAGUGUAUCAAAUAACCAGUGAGUGAGAUACACUUGCUACUGAGGUGCCAAAUGUAACAAAAUAAAAAGGAAAAAACUCUUUAAUUAAUUAACUUUAAAAGAGGGUUAUUCACCUGAAUACACUUGAAAACGACACAAACCGAAAAUUACACUUACACAUUUACUGCUUUUUUAAGUAUGUUAUUCGGAAAAAAAGAGAUUUGUCCAAUUACACAUACAUGAAACAACUAAAGCUCUUGCUCGAGAGCUCCAUAAAGUGACAAUCCUAAUUAUUCAAGUUUUUAAGCAGAUACUGUGUUCGUAUUACUAAAACCCUUGGCAAACAAGUGUCAAAUGAAGAUCUUUAAAUCUUGUCAUAAAUCGGUGCCCCUAUACCGCUGCUCAAACAUAAGAGAAUUCUAACGGUGAAUAUUUGAAUCUAGUGCUGGAAUAAAUUAAAUGUAAAGGCAAUUAGUUUUCAACAGCCAAACAAUGGUGAUUUCUUAGGGUGGUGGAAAGUUGAAGAGGAGGAGGAUGUGAAAGGUAGGGUCUAUUGAGUGAAUGUUAAUUUUCUGGAAAAAAAAGAAAAGAAAAAACAUAAUUUUAAGUUAUUUUACGCUCUCAAUUUCAGCGAAAAACACUCACUCCGCAAUGUCGGCAUGAUGGGUUUACGAGACAUACUUCUACCAAGAAUAGAUGUCUAUAUGGUCCCUAGUUAAGUUCAAGGUCUAACUUAUAAACUAUGCCAACUUUAAGAGGCUAUCUACAUAUUUAACUUGAAAAAAGAAGAAGAUGAUCUUAAAAAAUGAUUUUCUCUUUAAAAAUAAAAUACACGUGUCAUAUAUUAAUUAGCUCAUAUCACUUUGUAAUAGGCAUUUGGCAUCACGCUCUGACCCUUUGCAUCAACAUUAAGAAAAAAGUAUUUGAUUGAAAUAGAUGUUGAGUAAUGUUGGUGUUCCAUAAAUAAUAAGCUCCCGUUUGGCCUGGCCGUAUAUUUUGGCUUAUUUUUUUUAAAAAAUAAAAAUAAAAUGUAAACAUUUUGUUUGUUAUAAACAAGUUUAAGAGGCCUAACGAAUUUGGCCUAACAAAGAAAUUCCUACUUUAAGUACAAUCUCAUUAAUUGCAGAUAGAAAGGAAGCAAAUUUAUUGCCAACUGUACUUUAGAUCAAACAAAAUCAAACAUAAGAUGCUUUAGAGCCCGUUUGGCUCAAAAUCUGCUUCUUUUUUUUUUUUUUUGAAAAGUACUAUUUUUUAGCAGUAUUUUUUUAGAAGUACUUUUGAAAAAAAACUAUUUGUGUUUGGCCAAUUCAUUUAAGAAGUAUUUUUUUUUAACAAAAGUGGGUUACUCUGGUGGUGAGCACCCUUCACUUCCAACCAAGAGGUUGUGAGUUCGAGUCACCCCAAGAG